UCUAAAAAUGGGCCUAUCUGCAUUUGUGUGUGUGGGGGGGAUUGCAGGCUAAACAAAAGAGGCACCUAUGGGCUUACUGCUUAUAUUCUGAUAUUUUCGAGCAAGAAAUGUUAACCUUGAAAUAGUGCUAUCUGCACCGAACAAUGUGCGAUCAUAACCCCAUAAAUGAGGGGAGAAAUUGAAUCCUUUUAAGUUAUUAAGCAGGAAAGGAUUAUAAACUCGUCUUUAUAAAUGAGCUAGAAAUCCCCAUGUCUUUCUCUGUACACUUUUAAAUUUCCCACAAGAAGCAGCAGAGGAGAGAUUGCUCCUUUUCAAGAGCCCCCCACAAGAGAUGGAAAAACCAUUUUUAUGCCCCGAUAGGAAGUCGUCCCACAUGAGAAAUUGUCUCGGGGCAUCUCUUGUUGGCUCAUCACAGGGUCCACACAUUUCCAAGAAUUAUUUCCAGUAUUGCAUGUCAGGAUUUGAAUCUUCUCCCAGUGAGCAUGUGGGUUUCUUAAGAACACUCACAUGACUUCAUCCCACAUUUUAAAAAAACACGCAACUGAUUUGAAAAGACAUCACUGGUGCGACUGUAGAAAGGCUGCAGCUGCACAUCUGAGUCUGAUCAUCUCAGCAUGCUGGCUCUAUAAGAGGUCCCACAGAGCUGCACAUGCAAGUCCCCACAACUCCUCCAAGAGCUCCUUCUACUUACCAUCAAAUGUCUCCUGAAACAGAAAAAGGACAUCAGCAGAAGCAAUAGAACCUCAGAUAUAUAUUUAUUUGUUUGUAC